GCCUCUCUGCAUCUCUCUUUCUUUCUAGCCAUCCCUGGAAUGCUCCCCUAACAUGCCAUAGCUCUAGCAUUUAAUGUAGUUUUUUCUCCCUCUCCUUGUCCUUAGAAAAAAGUAGACGGUACUAGGCAUCUCCUAAUAACGCUGACCCUAGAGUAGUCAUUCUGCUCUGCUUAAUAUGGCUCUCUGUUGAACUGAGCUCAGAGGCCUUUACAGCAUGCAAUAUCAAAGGUUUGUCACUUGCAAGGAUUUUUUCUAAAGGUCAGGCACUACUGGAUCAGCAGUUGCGGAGUGGAGUAGCAGAAUGUUUCUAGGUUAGCACUCAUUAAAAAUUUUCAAGUUUUCAUGAACUUUAGACAUUCAGAAAAACAAACAGCAAAGAGCUUCAACAUUUAAGAAGAUUUUUUUUGUUUUUCUGCCCACUCAGAAAUUUUCAAAAAUUCUGCAUUUUUUUCAAAAUUUGGAAGUAAAGGGGGGAAAAUUUUGAGAAAAUGUUCACAAUUUCCCCCCUCCUUUUAACAAGCUCUAUUCUUAGUAGCACUUACAGUCCUCCAGCAAUUAAAUGGAUUGCAGCCACUUUCCCUUUAGUGCACAGACAUAUCUCCUUCUCCACCGGCAAAAAUCCAAAAUUAACUGAAGAAAAUUAAUGAUGGAUUUGAUGUGUUUGUUUAUUUAGAACACUUAGGUUUAUAAUCCAGGCUUAGUCAAAAAGUAUUCAUCACAUAUUCCAUAGCUAUUCCUGCCUUUCAGAUUAACAGCAUGGCAGUGAGGCGAUGCCACUUCAGCUGGGUGAGAAUUGCAGUAGCAGCUGCUUGCUGUAUUACGACAUACCCCCUUCUGGUGAGCUGAUCCUGUGGCCAAAAUGAUAGUGGCAGCCUUUAUUGGGCUGUUACCACCACGUUUGUGUUCUCAGAAACUUGCCAGAAGAUAUUGCAGCUCCCGAAAAGUGUAUCAGUAGAUAUAGAUUGUGAAAUUCUGGCUUCACUGAAGUUAAGAGAUUGGCUGUUGACUUCAAUAGGGCCAGGAUUUUCCCUAUAGGAUUCUUGAGCUAUUGGUGGUGAAAUACUGUGGUUCUAUAGAAAAUCAAAGUUUGGGUAGAUCACUAGAUUGAUCAGUGGGUUGACUAACAGAUAGCUAGAUAGAUAAGUAUAGAGGUGGUUGGAUAGAAUUUGAGAUUGUACCAAUUACAGAUAGGAUAAGGUCAAUGGGAAGAAAUGUCUUAACCAAUUGUGAUUCCUGGACAUGUGUGCAGUAUUCUGCCUACAUUGUUUGGAACCUAUAAUUUUAGCAGAAGUAAUUUAUACCUCAUAUAAAGCUAAUCACAGUUAGUAUUGUAGCCAUCUAGCAAUUGGUUUGGCAGUGUGUUCUGAAUUGGACAACAGCAGUGAUAUGCUGGGGAGAUAAAGACACAGGCACUCAGAACUAUAAUGAUGAAUGCCAUAAAGAGAGGGGGGAAAAGGACUGAAUUAUGCAGCAAAAAAGGAUAUCAAAAGCCAUGCUCACAGUCAUAGCUCCAGAUAUGCCUGCCAAGCCACAUGCACAUCAUCUGGUAACAAUUCUAUGGCUCUUACAACAGCAGAGUUAAAUCACACCUGUAAUAUGGCAUUUUUCACUGUGUUUUAAAGUACGGAGCCGUCAUCUAGAAUUUGGUUUUCUGGACCAAAAUGUAUCUUCUCCUGUUUGAUGGGACAGAGCUGCAGGUGCCCUGGCAUGUCAGCUGAUACAGGCUGAGAUGUACUCCUGCUCAUGGAGUUUUCACAGCUUAAUCUGGACAAAUGCACCACCUACCUCUUGCAGUGUGAUUGUUGGAGCAGAUGAAACUAGAGGAGAUGGUGAUGGGAAACCAGGCGUGAGGAGGAGAUGUAAAAUGAUGCGUGGAGGUUGUUCCAUGUGGGGGAAUAGCGUGAAAGAAGGAGCAAAGCAUAGAGUGAUGAGAGAGGGGGAUAAGUUAUAUCAGAGGCUUGGUCAGGACAGCUGUCAGGUUUUCCUGUAGGUCGUUGUAGAAACACUCAUGGAAAUGAUGAUGGAUGACCACAGAGACUCGCUGUGGUGCAACUUCAUAGAGCGUAGGUAAGGCAGGCUGGACACAGGGAUCUGACCUGUGAUUAUGUAGACAGGAUGGCUGGAAUCUGUUGUGGGGAUCGAGCACCUGAAAGUGCACAAAAUCUAACCAGAAUAGUGAUUUAACACGCUCUAACGUUAGGGUCCAACUCUGCCACCUUGAUGGUGAGCAGCAUGUACUCACACAGGCCACUCCACUGUGUCCAUGCGACCAUUCUGGGUAAGCACCAGAUGCCAUUUGAAUCGGGUGGCAGAAUCAGGCCCCUGAUAAGGAAUGCAGAUCAGGCUGUGAAGGGCCCAGUGCCUCUAGGGAGCUGAGGAAGUUAGAGCAGACAUUGGACAAGCUCGCUUAGCAGAAGAGCUCUGAGGGUUUGGAGCAUCAUUAUUGCAGUACUGUUUCCUUUUCACUCUCUUUCCCUACCUGCUCCCAUCCCCUUCUCCGCCAUCCCACCUUGCUCUGAAUCAGGCUCAGAGUUGCCCUGCUGGUUUUCAAGACGUAUCACGUCCUUGCCUCAGCCAGCUUCUCCUGCCUCUGAACAGCUCCUUCCAUCUCAGCCUCCUCCCUGACACAUCUCCCUUGACAGUGGCACUCCACUCACUAGCACCACCCUAUCUGUCUGAAGCCCUGUCUCUGCCUCUUAUACUCCUCCAUCUUUCAAUCUCUCUUUGCAACUUUCCUUUCGUUUCCUCCAGCUUACAAGAGACUCUGAUGUUCUCUGUGAAUGUGUGCGUGAAGGCGGCUCCAUAAGAAUACACCACAUUGUAUUACCUCAGGGGCUUUUGAAUUGGUUUUAUUUGUUCAUGCGACUGAUGGAAGAUCAGACCAGGAAAGACCCUCUGGGAUUUCAUAAUCUCCCAGCAGGGUGGUUUUGGGAAGGAGUUCCACACCAGCUUUGCUCUUCUAAAUUAUUUGGGAAUAUUGUGGCAAAGGGAAGCCAAGGGAAUGCUGUGGGAUGUAUGUGAUGCACUGAGGUUCCUUGGAAAACAUGGCACAGUGCUGCCUCCUCUGGUCUUGGGCUGGGGACUCAGCAUUGUAGAAGGAGUAGCAGAAAGUACAAUCUCAUGCUUUUACUCAUGCUGCAUAGGACUUUGUUCCAUGAGUAGUCUUCAUCAGCCUUGUCCAUGCUAAUAUAAACACAUAGCAUGGGGUACCUAAAAUAUUUAAUUAUACCAUUUUUUGAAAACUCCACACAAUUUCCCCUGGUGACAGGAAAUGAGAAAAAUAGAACCACACCUGACAGAUGCUAGUCAGAGUGAGUACAAUUUUCAGAAAUGCCUAUGUGACCACUGUUAUAGCCUUGUUGAUCCCAGGAUAUUAGAGAGACAGGGUGGGUGAGGGAAUAUCUUUUUGUUGAAUCAACUUCUGUUGGUGAGAGAAACACCCGAUGAAGAGCUGUGUAAGCUCGAAAGCUUGUCUCUCGCCAGCAGAAGCUGUUGAUCAGUGAAGGAGAGCUGCAUAAGAACUUAAUGACAGGUUUCAGAGUAGCAGCCGUGUUAGUCUGUAUCCGCAAAAAGAAGAACUUAUAAGAACUUAAAAAGACUAGGACAGAAUAGUCCUGACAUCAGUGGAACCACUUGUGGAGUAAAGAUGGUCUUCCACGUGAGUAAAGAUAUCAGAAUCUGGCCCUCAGUAGGAAGGCAGGAAGCAAUGGCUACUUAUCAUGCAGCAGUUUUUCAGACAGAAAGUGAGUCCUGCAAAAAGAAUUCUGUAAGCACCCUAGCACUUAUUUUUGUAGAGCCUUGUGUAACUGAUUUGUAUGAUGAUACUGACGUAAGAUUUUCAGGUUUGCAUAGGUUUCUUAAAUUUAAAGCAGAUAACGAAGAAUGUUUUACUCCUGACAAAUACAUUAUAUACGUAUGCAUCUGAAGAAGUGGGCUGAAGUCCACAAAAGCUUAUGCUCUAAUAAAUUUGUUAGUCUCUAAGGUGCCACAAGUACUCCUGUUCUUUCUACAUUAUAUUCUGUCUCUCAGUCCUGAUAAAUAAGUUAAUUCAAGUUACUUACUGAUCACCAGUUUCUGGACAGUUCUUACAUUGCUACUCAGCUGGAAGAGGAACAGAAAAUGUUCUGGUUAAGCCCAGUUCCGUUUCAAUAUCUGCUGUUCUGCAGAUGCCCCCGGAAUAGUAGCCCAUGCUCUUAGUCCCAAGUGCCCCUUUUGCCAUUUAGAUAAGUUUGCAGAAGCAAAGACAGAAUGCUUCAAAUCAUCAACAUCAUCAUCUUGGUUUAUUCUUUGAAAGCCACUGAAAACGUAAUUGAUGCGAAACUUAGAGCAUAUUUUUAAACUCCAGGAGCAAACAUGUUUAUAGAAUAACAAAAAAACAUGUUUAAGUUUGUCACUAUUUUGUCCUGAGGUUAUGAAAAUAUUUUGGUGGUGACACCUCUCCAAAUGGUGCUGCAGUGAGUCAGCCAGCCCUAGUUAAGAAGUGAGACUUUUAAACGGCUUGUGGUUUGAGGGGCAAUGUAGCAAUAAUGUUGAUGUCCUCAACCAUGUCUUAAACGAAUGAGUUUAACGAAUUAAAGAAGAAGACAAACCGCUUUUAGCUGAUUGGUGCGGCUGGGUCGUAGGAAGAACUUCCAGCCAAGAGCAAGCUUAUGAGCCGUGUAGCUAUGUGGGCCUGAUGAGCAGAGAGCUAUCUCAAGGAGAGGCUUUGCGCCUAUAAUACAACAUUUUUGACAUCUUAGACCACCACUGAUAUUCUAAAAACUUUUUCGAGAGGAGGCACCAUAAUAUUACAUGAAUACACCCCCUAAGAAGAGCCAGUGAACAGAGAGGACAGGUGCAGAUUAUUACAUGCAGAUGCCACCCUGACUCCCUUGGCGACUAACACCAUCACGCUCCAUGUGGGAAAUCUCAUAAAACAGCAGUAGCCUAUGGGCAUUCUUGACCAGGUUGCAAAGAGCAUCAGGAUUACUAAAACAUACAAAGCAAAGCUGUGUACUGUAGUCAAUUCCAACCUAUUCAGAAAGAUUGAUCCCCCCAUUCAUGGACAUCAGUGAGAUUGAGGACUGUCCAAGGUGUUCAAGCCUCCAAGCUAUUACUACGCCAGCCUUUUUUCAUUAAUCUAAUGUAUACUUCUUGAACUCGGAGUGAGAACUGCAGCUCUGUAUGCGAUAGAGCUGAAGCCACUGGUCA